rnacentral:rRNA from 1 species
ACUCAAAGGAAUAGACGGGGGCCCGCACAAGCGGUGGAGCAUGUGGUUUAAUUCGACGACAAGCGAAGAACCUUACCGAGGCUUGACAUCCUGGGAACCCUGCAGAAAUGCGGGGGUGCCUUCGGGAACCCAGUGACAGGUGUUGCAUGGCCGUCGUCAGCUCGUGUCGUGAGAUGUUGGGUUAAGUCCCGCAACGAGCGCAACCCUUGUCGCGUGUUGUAUUUUUCACGCGAGACUGCCCUGGUAACGGGGAGGAAGGUGGGGAUGACGUCAGGUCAGCAUGGCCCUUACGCCUCGGGCCACACACGUGCUACAAUGGCCGGUACAAUGGGUUUGCCAAGCCGCAAGGCGGAGCUAAUCCCAUCAAAACCGGUCUCAGUUCGGAUUGAGGGCUGCAACUCGCCCUCAUGAAGCUGGAAUCGCUAGUAAACGUGGGUCAGCACACCACGUUGAAUACGUUCCCGGGCCUUGUACACACCGCCCGU